UACGUAGGUGGCAAGCGUUGUCCGGAAUUAUUGGGCGUAAAGGGCGCGUAGGCGGGAUGGCAAGUCGGUCGUGAAAUCCUUCGGCUCAACCGAAGAACGUCGGCCGAUACUGCCGUUCUUGAGGGAUGCAGAGGAGAUUGGAAUUCCCGGUGUAGCGGUGAAAUGUGUAGAGAUCGGGAGGAACACCGGUGGCGAAGGCGGGUCUCUGGGCAUCUCCUGACGCUGAGGCGCGAAAGCGUGGGGAGCAAACGGG
rnacentral:rRNA from 1 species